GACGAACGCUGGCGGCGUGCUUAACACAUGCAAGUCGAACGGAAAGGCCCUGCUUUUGUGGGGUGCUCGAGUGGCGAACGGGUGAGUAACACGUGAGUAACCUGCCCUUGACUUUGGGAUAACUUCAGGAAACUGGGGCUAAUACCGGAUAGGAGCUCCUGCUGCAUGGUGGGGGUUGGAAAGUUUCGGCGGUUGGGGAUGGACUCGCGGCUUAUCAGCUUGUUGGUGGGGUAGUGGCUUACCAAGGCUUUGACGGGUAGCCGGCCUGAGAGGGUGACCGGCCACAUGGGGACGGAGAUACGGCCCAGACUCCUACGGGAGGCAGCAGUGGGGAAUAUUGCACAAUGGGCGGAAGCCUGAUGCAGCAACGCCGCGUGCGGGAUGACGGCCUUCGGGUGGUAAACCGCUUUCGCCUGUGACGAAGCGUGAGUGACGGUAAUGGGUAAAGAAGCACCGGCUAACUACGG
rnacentral:rRNA from 1 species